AUAAAGCAGAGGAGAGUUUUCCGGGCGGGAAAAGUUCGUGAUGUCUUCCUAAGUUUACUUUAUAACCUUAUUUUUGCCUAUAGUACAUUUGCUAGAACAGUUAUUGUAAAGAAUCUGAAUUAGUGGAGUAAAAUGAAAUUUUUGGAUGUUCCCUCUUUUGUUAAAAUAUGUUCAGAUUUAUCUGUUAAACGUGGUGAUGAAUCACUAGAGUGUGUCCUAGAAUCUUAUUCCUGUAAGCAAACAGGAGCUGAUAAAAAAAUAUUAAAGAAAAAGAAUUGCAACAGAGCUUAUGAACUGAACAAGGCAGCCUGCCUAGCUCCACCUCAAACCUUUAAUUUAAAAAAAGAUAACCAACACGAGACAACUACUUGGAAAACGGUGCACUAUUUAAAAUCAACUUUAAACUCUUCUUUUCCGGAUUAUGAGUUUUCCAGUGUAGAUUCGCAGCAAUUUUGCCGGGAACCCAUCCUUGAAGCAGGAAGAAUAAAGAACUUCUGUUGUUAAUACCACCUAUAUUUUUAUAUUAUUUACUAUAGUGAUUAGCUCCGUAAACAAUUCUCUUUAUGAUUAUGUGGAACAGCGCACUGAUUUUCAGCAAUACUUAUGGGGAAUUAUUAAUGCUCAUAUUUCCUUAGCUGACUGCGAGAUCUACUCGUACAUACCGCAGUGCCACUCAGAUCCUUUUUAUGAAGACAAUAUUCUAUGGUCCUUCAAUUAUUUAUUCUUCAAUCCAAAAUUGAAAAGAGUUUUAUUUUUUGCUUGCCGGU